CGGGAUGUGGCGCAGCAUGGUAGCGCACAGGUCUGGGGGACUUGGGGUCGCUGGUUCAAAUCCAGUCAUCCCGACCA
rnacentral:tRNA from 1 species